GAUGAACGCUGGCGGCGUGCCUAAUACAUGCAAAUCGAGCGAACGGACGAUAAUCUUGCUUCUCUGAUGUUUGCGUCGGACGGGUGAGUAACACGUGUAUAACCUACCUAUAUUACUGGGAUAACUUCGUGUAACCGUAGCUCAUACCGGAUAAUAUUUUGAACCGCAUGGUUCAAAAGUGAAAGACGGUCUUUCUGUCUCUUAUAGAUGUAUCCGCGCUGCAUUAGCUAGUUGGUAAGGUAACGGCUUACCAAGGCAACGAUGCAUAGCCGACCUGAGAGGGUGAGCGGCAAAACUGGAACUGAGACAAGGUACAGAAUACUACGGGAGGAAGCAGAAGGGAAUCUUACGCAAUGGGCGAAAGCCUGACGGAGCAAGGCAGCGUGAGUGAUGAAGGUCUUCGGAUCGGAAAACACUGUUAUUAGGGAAGAAAAUAUGUGUAAGAAACUGUGCACAUCUUGACGGUAACUAAUCAGAAAGCAACGGCUAACUACGUG
rnacentral:rRNA from 1 species